AGCGAACGCUGGCGGCAGGCCUAACACAUGCAAGUCGAACGCCGUAGCAAUACGGAGUGGCAGACGGGUGAGUAACACGUGGGAACGUACCCUUCGGUUCGGGAUAACUCAGGGAAACUUGAGCUAAUACCGGAUACGUCCGAGAGGAGAAAGAUUUAUUGCCGAGGGAUCGGCCCGCGUCUGAUUAGCUUGUUGGUGAGGUAACGGCUCACCAAGGCGACGAUCAGUAGCUGGCUGAGAGGAUGAUCAGCCACAUUGGGACUGAGACACGGCCCAGACUCCUACGGGAGGCAGCAGUGGGGAAUCUUGCGCAAUGGUCUAACGACUGACGCAGCGACGCCGCGUGAGGGAUGAAGCUCUUCGGAGUGUAAACCUCUGUGCCCGGGACGAAUAGCGGAUUAUUCCGACUUGACGGUACCGGGUGAGGAAGCACCGGCUAACU
rnacentral:rRNA from 1 species